CGUGGUGGUAGGUUUGAAUCUUGCACCUGAUGAAUCUCGCACAAUGUGUUAGUUGUGUAGGUGCCAGUAACCCCAAAUGGAGGCUGGAUUGGUAUCCCUCAGUGCUAGUAAUCUGGUCAUGAUUUUAUGAGUUUGUCCCUUGACUCCCUUCUCCUAGCCACCAAGUGACUUUUCUUUAUUUGUACAUAAAAAAAUAACAGAAUUACAUACUUCUUUUAAAUUGUUAUUACUUUUUAAGUAAAUUGUAUUCUUUUGAUUUGAUAACUCUUUUGGUUCAAAAUUAGUCUUGUAAUCUUGUUAGUUAUCUCUUUGAUUCACAGAAAAGGAAAAUUGGUCUUAAAAAAUUUAACCUUGGAUGCUUCUUUUAUAGUUUCUUAAUUUCUCUAUCUUGGCUCUUCCUCACACAGGUUGGAGAGAAACACAGGAAUUAACGUACAUGACUUAAUUUAUACCAUCAUCAACAUUUCCACAAUUGCUUGGGGUUGUGUUCAGGACAUUUUUACAAAGCCCUUUUUACUGCAGAACAGAGGAGCAGACGGAAACGCCCCUUUACUCAAAGACCUCUAUUGCUGAGACCUUUGUAGUAGCCGGUAAGUGCGAAGAAGUACAUGCUGAUUUUUAAAAGUCAAAAGAAAUAAGUUUUUUUGUUAUAUUAUUCCCCUACAACUUCAUUUGUAGGAGUUCCUUCAGGAACAAGCUGGUAAUAUAGUCUAUGUUAUUGUUAUAUUGAAGCAGUACGAAUGAAGAAUGAUUCAUGAUUCACUGAUGAAGUUUUGAAUUUUGAUGAAAUGAGUUUCAGAUUCAUUAAUUAAGUAUUCUGAUAGGUACCAGCGUUGAAAGAUAAGAAAUACUGAAUUCUAUUGAAAGUAUUAUAUGAAAACUAC
rnacentral:lncRNA from 1 species